rnacentral:rRNA from 1 species
CCUACGGGGGGCAGCAGUGGGGAAUCUUGCGCAAUGGCCGAAAGGCUGACGCAGCGACGCCGCGUGGAGGAUGACGGCCUUCGGGUUGUAAACUCCUGUUGCCCGGGACGAACACACCAUUUCGAUGGUGCUGACGGUACCGGGUGAGGAAGCACCGGCUAACUCUGUGCCAGCAGCCGCGGUAAUACAGAGGGUGCGAGCGUUGUCCGGAAUCACUGGGCGUAAAGGGCGCGUAGGCGGUGACUUAAGCGUGUGGUGAAAGCUCGGGGCUCAAC